rnacentral:rRNA from 1 species
AUUGAACGCUGGCGGCAGGCCUAACACAUGCAAGUCGAGCGGUAGAGAGGUGCUUGCAUCUCUUGAGAGCGGCGGACGGGUGAGUAAUGCCUAGGAAUCUGCCUGGUGGUGGGGGAUAACGUUCGGAAACGGACGCUAAUACCGCAUACGUCCUACGGGAGAAAGCGGGGGAUCUUCGGACCUCGCGCCAUUAGAUGAGCCUAGGUCGGAUUAGCUAGUUGGUGAGGUAAUGGCUCACCAAGGCGACGAUCCGUAACUGGUCUGAGAGGAUGAUCAGUCACACUGGAACUGAGACACGGUCCAGACUCCUACGGGAGGCAGCAGUGGGGAAUAUUGGACAAUGGGCGAAAGCCUGAUCCAGCCAUGCCGCGUGUGUGAAGAAGGUCUUCGGAUUGUAAAGUCACUUUAAGUUAGGGAGGAAGGGUAGUAACCUAAU